UGAAAACCUGUCCUUGGAACUGGCGUUUCUAAAACCCAAACCCCAGUCUGCAGCAGAACACAUCACAGGUGUUGAAGAUGAAAAGAGAAGCUGAAUUCUGAUGAUCAAAAGUCUCCAGGAAGAAAGGAGCAGCGCUUUCCCAGAAAGAUUUGUUGUGAAACCUCUGUAGUUUCUCUAUUUGGAAGAGAAGGAACUCUGGAACUAGAAACGUCAAAAAUAAAAGUGAGCACAGUGGGCCCUCAGCAUCAAACUGGGGCCUAGAUUACUACCAAUGAGCCUGGACGAUCUGAAUAAAAUAAAGGUGGAGGAUACAUCAGUAUGAAAUCCGACGCUAAAUGCCCC